rnacentral:tRNA from 2 species
UGGGCCGUUAGCUCAGUUGGUAGAGCAGGAGACUCUUAAUCUCAGGGUCAUAGGUUCGAAUCCUAUACGGCCCAA